GAUGAACGCUGGCGGCGUGCCUAAUACAUGCAAGUCGAGCGAACAGACGAGGAGCUUGCUCCUCUGACGUUAGCGGCGGACGGGUGAUUAACACGUGGAUAACCGACCUAUAAGACUGGGAUAACUUCGGGAAACCGGAGCUAAUACCGGAUAAUAUAUUGAACCGCAUGGUUCAAUAGUGAAAGACGGUUUUGCUGUCACUUAUAGAUGGAUCCGCGCCGCAUUAGCUAGUUGGUAAGGUAACGGCUUACCAAGGCAACGAUGCGUAGCCGACCUGAGAGGGUGAUCGGCCACACUGGAACUGAGACACGGUCCAGACUCCUACGGGAGGCAGCAGUAGGGAAUCUUCCGCAAUGGGCGAAAGCCUGACGGAGCAACGCCGCGUGAGUGAUGAAGGUCUUCGGAUCGUAAAACUCUGUUAUUAGGGAAGAACAAAUGUGUAAGUAACUAUGCACGUCUUGACGGUACCUAAUCAGAAAGCCACGGCUAACUACGUG
rnacentral:rRNA from 1 species